rnacentral:rRNA from 1 species
CAGCCGCCGCGGUAAUACGGAGGGUGCGAGCGUUAAUCGGAAUUACUGGGCGUAAAGCGUACGCAGGCGGUUUGUUAAGUCAGAUGUGAAAUCCCCGAGCUUAACUCGGGAACUGCACUUGAAACUGGCAGGCUAGAGUCUCGUAGAGGGGGGUAGAAUUCCAGGUGUAGCGGUGAAAUGCGUAGAGAUCUGGAGGAAUACCGGUGGCGAAGGCGGCCCCCUGGACGAAGACUGACGCUCAGGUACGAAAGCGUGGGGAGCAAACAGGAUUAGAUACCCCUGUAGUCCCUGUCUCUUAUAC